AUUGAACGCUGGCGGCAUGCCUUACACAUGCAAGUCGAACGGCAGCACGGGUGCUCGCACCUGGUGGCGAGUGGCGAACGGGUGAGUAAUAUAUCGGAACAUACCCUUGAGUGGGGGAUAACGUAGCGAAAGUUACGCUAAUCCCGCAUACGAACUAAGGUUGAAAGUGGGGGAUCGCAAGACCUCAUGCUCAUGGAGUGGCCGAUAUCUGAUUAGCUAGUUGGUGAGGUAAAGGCUCACCAAGGCGACGAUCAGUAGCUGGUUUGAGAGAACGACCAUCCACACUGGAACUGGGACACGGUCCAGACUCCUACGGGAGGCAGCAGUGGGGAAUGUUGGACAAUGGGGGCAACCCUGAUCCAGCAAUGCCGCGUGGGUGAAGAAGGCCCUCGGGUUGUAAAGCUCUUUUGUCAGGGAAGAAACGGUCUACUCUAAUACAGUGGGCUAAUGACGGUACCUGAAGAAUAAGCACCGGCUAACUACAUGCCAGCCGCCGCGGUAAAAC
rnacentral:rRNA from 1 species